rnacentral:rRNA from 1 species
CCUGGGUAUAAAUAGUUAUGUUCUUGAAACCCAAAGAAUUUGGCGGUAUUUUAUUCCUUUUAGAGGAACCUGUCCUGUAAUUGAUAAUCCACGAUAGAUAAUUACUUGUUUUUGUGUUCAGUUUGUAUACCUCCGUCAUCAGAAUAUCUUUUUAGAGUUAAUAUUCAAUUAAUACAAAAUAUAAUAUGUCAGGUCAAGGUGCAGCUUAUGGAUAAGUAGAGAUGGGUUACAAUAAAUUUAUUUACACGGAUUAAUAUAUUUAAAUUAUUAUGAAGGAGGAUUUAAAAGUAAAAUUAAAUCUUUAUUAAUUUGAUUUUGGCUCUAAAAUAUGCACACAUCGCCCGUCGCUCUUAUUAUAAAAUAAGAUAAGUCGUAACAUAGUAGGUGUACUGGAAAGUGUACCUAG